CUCCAGCCCCUUCCCAGCUCCCUCAGCAAUUCUCCAGCCCCUUCCCAGCUCCCUCAGCAAUUCUCCAGCCCCUUCCCAGCUCCCUCAGCAAUUCUCUGCCCCUCUUUAAAGUGAGGGGCCCAGAGCUGAUCCCAGGACUGGAGGUGCCUCAGCAGUGCCAGCACAGGGGAACAGUCACUGCUCCUCCUGUCACACCAUUCCAGGCACCUUUGGCCUUUUGCCCACCUUGGCACACCCAGGUUCACGUUCAGCUGCUUCAAGCAGAGCAGCUCUCGAGCCACUCCUCCCCACCCCUUUGCAGAAAUACAUCCCUGUACAGAAAUAAAUCCCUUUAUUUAUAUAUCCCAUUGUGUCCCAUGUCCAGUGUGUCCAGAGCCUGCAGCUGGGGAAGGAGAAGGGUCAGAGCUCAUUCUCCUCACUGCCGAGCUCUGAGACAACAAAUACUGCACCACUGCCUGUGGGGGUAUAAAAAUACAUGUUUUUCACAAAUAGCACUGCAUCACUGUGUCCGGAAUCCUCUUCCACUUUUCCACGUUAAGCACAUUGCUGAUGUGACCGUGUGGUUCUCCAUGAGCAAUCCAGGGACACGUCCUGGGCUGGAGCCUCUGAAGGGAAGCACAGAUGGUUUGGAGCUGGUGACAAUGCAGGUGACAAUGAGGGGAGCCAGCCCCACACUGCCCAGCACAGCUCUCCCAGCACGGCCCAGUUCAGUCCUGCACAUUGUCCCAGUUCAGGCCUGCAGGGUGGCCCAGCACAGCCCAGUUCAGCUCCCCAGGCUCUCCCAGUUCAGCUCCCCAGGCUCUCCCAGUUCAGCUCCCCAGGCUCUCCCAGUUCAGUGCCCCAGGCUCUCCCAGCCCAGUUCAGCUCCCCAGGCUCUCCCAGCCCAGUUCAGUGCCCCAGGCUCUCCCAGUUCAGCCCAGUUCAGCUCCCCAGGCUCUCCCAGUUC
ensembl:lncRNA